UUUGCCAAGUCCCUAUCAUGUUUCAUCCAUCUUCUUCUCUCUCUCUUUCUUGAGUAGGAAUUCAACCUCAGAUGUGAGAUGAUUACUGUGUGAAGUUGGAGUAUUGAAUGGUUUAUCAUGUCUAUGUAAUUAACAAUUUGGCACCCCAUCCCCUUCAGCAAUAGUGAUUUGAUUUAUUUCUUGAUGACUGCAACCAUCAUUUUGCCUACCAAAUUUUUCUUUUGUGUUUAUCUAAACCCUGCAUGAAAAUCUAUUUUCUCUACAGUUAGCCCUUGACUCAGCAUACAGCACAAUACGUGAAUAGAAUCUCUAAAUGACACUGUUGAAGAAACGUCACUUACUUUGCCUACAAGCGGAAUUAUUGCUAGCAAGCAAAACAGAAUUACUGAAAAUUCUGUCAAAAUGAAGGCCAAGUUACCUACUGUAGGAACUUGAAAUUUCCAAUUAUAAUUUAAUGGCAAAGUUUGCGAGUAAUUAGUAUGGUUUAAUUGCGAGGUAAACGUUCCCAUUAUUUGCCAAACAAUUUUUCAAUUAGUGUCAAAAGCGAGCCUUGAUACAUGCAAUUUAUGAAUGUUUCCAUUGGUGUGGAUAUUGAAAUUAAAAAUCCAUUAUUAAAGGUCUUGAAUUUCUCUGUAUUUUUUUUUCUGGGAUGGGUUAUUGAGUCGUACCGCUAGUUUUGCCAGCAACACAUGUCGCUACGUAGCGAAAGCUGAAAACGCAACUUCAACGCUGCUGUAGUAAUCAUUGGUGUACAUUGAUUGACUGGUGCAUGAAACUGUUAUUUUGGGUUAUAGAAUUCAGAUCACAACGAGGUGAUAAUAGAUGAUCGUUGAUUAAAAUGGGCAUGUUGUCUUCAGUCCUCUCUUUGUCAACGGCUAUAUUGUGUUUAUUAAAUACUGGCACUUAUGCAUUGGUUCUGAAGUAUGACUAUGUAAUGACUGGUACAGUGCUUGAUGUAUUUUACUCAGGUAAACCAGGAGACUUCGAUAUAACCACCCCUUAUAUUGACAAAACUGUAUCGUGUUACAUAGCCAUGAUCGAUGAAAAUCCAACAAAAAAGGAAGUGAUUAGAUAUAAUGGAGAAUUCCACGAAUGCAUAGACUUCGAAGUUUGUGAGUAUGCAGAAAGUUUGAUGAGACGAACAGUCAGAGUCAACUUCUAUGGAUUGUUCAGUGUAGAACCAUCUAAUACUAAUGCAAAUAAUUAUGUAGUUGGUCUCGAAGCUGCUGGUAGAAAUGUUAGGUGGUCUCAAUAAUGGUGUAGGUGGUCUUGAAAUUUCUGGUGAAAAUGUGGAAUGGUCUGCAUAGUUUUAUUCUAACUUUUUUUUUCCAAGUCAGUGAUACCAGUAUGGAAAGCUAAACUUUAAGCUACAUAUAAAUAUGUAUUUUUAUUUAUUUGAAGGAGACUUUGGGGAUGGAAGCUCUCACUCCAGUAUAGCAUGUUAAUGGUAACACUUUUUGUUAAAUGUUUUGUUUUGUGUAUAUUUUCAAAAACCUAGGGUUGAUCAACUUAAUAUUUAUGAAAGAAGAUUGAUGUUUAAUUCACUUUUGUUUGAGCUGUUUAUUCAUUUAAGCAUUAUUAUUUAUCAAUUUGCGAUCAAACCAAUACUUGAUUGGUGAAAUUUAUAAGUAAGAACAAAAAACUAAUGAUAUGUUUUUGUUCAAA